rnacentral:ncRNA from 1 species
AUAAUAUCAAGACUCAAAGACUAGUACGCUGUAUUUUCUUUUAUAGAGAGCUAACGGGUGGUGAAAGUUAGCAAAGAAAACAGGGGAAUCCAUCUUCUAUAAGAGUAAAUGAAGAAAUAAUUCAUUUCGGUUACAGCCGUUAUCUGUAUCACAAGUGCAACUGAUUGGUCAGUUGAAUUUGGGUGGCACCGCGAAUUUCAAUCCGUUCGUCCCAGAG